AUAUUUUAGAGCACUGUGGUUUAAAAAUGUAUCAUAUUAUUUUGCUAGCUGUUAUCACUUUGCCUUAAUGUCUUUUUCUCUUUACAGAAAAAAAAGUACAGUAUUCCUGGUCAGGGGACGAAAGGUGCAAUAAAUGGAAUAUGGCAAGAUAUCACUGUCUUUGAUGUCUGAUAUUCACAUCUUGAAGAUUGUUGUUUGCUGUAUGUUAUCCAAUUUCUUAGUAAUUUCAGGUAAGAGGGC
rnacentral:lncRNA from 1 species